CGGGGUGCAGCAGGCGCGAAACCUCUGCAAUAGGCGAAAGCCUGACAGGGUUACUCUGAGUGACUUUCGCUAAGAAAGUCUUUUGGCACCUCUAAAAAGGGUGCAGAAUAAGGGGUGGGCAAGUCUGGUGUCAGCCGCCGCGGUAAUACCAGCACCCCGAGUGGUCGGGACGAUUAUUGGGCCUAAAGCAUCCGUAGCCGGUUCUGCAAGUCCCCCGUUAAAUCCAGCUGCUCAACAGAUGGGCCGCGGAGGAUACUACAGAGCUAGGAGGCAGGAGAGGCAAGCGGUACUCAGUGGGUAGGGGUAAAAUCCGUUGAUCCAUUGAAGACCACCAGUGGCGAAGGCGGCUUGCCAGAAUGCGCUCGACGGUGAGGGAUGAAAGCUGGGGGAGCAAACCGGAUUAGAUACCCGGGUAGUCCCAGCCGUAAACGAUGCAGACUCGGUGAUGGGUUGGCUUCGCGCUAACCCAGUGCCGCAGGGAAGCCGUUAAGUCUGCCGCCUGGGUAGUACGGUCGCAAGACUGAAACUUAAAGGAAUUGGCGGGGGAGCAC
rnacentral:rRNA from 1 species